CAGCACAGGAGCGGUGCUGCAGCCAACCUCGGCACGGAGACGGCACUUUCCAUCUGCCGCCUGGCUCCCGCCUGGCAGCGGUAGCGGUGCCGGGAAGCGGCAGGUGCAGAGUGUGACCCGCUUUUCCUUUGCCUUCCAGAGCGAGUCGCCGUCUGGGAUGCGGUGGCCGCCUACGUACGGGAGCAGCUCCUGGGGCAGAAGGGGGUCUGGAUUCCUACCUUCGGCUCCUUUGACACCGUCUCCAAGGACGUCCGGACUGAGGAUGGGACCGUGACUCUGCGGUGGCCGGUCUUUCACCUGGCCUCAAACCUCAUAGCCACGCACCACCUCAAGCCCCGCAGGGAGUCCCUGCCAGUCCAUAGGAAGGUGGAGCCCCUGAAAUACAGCAAGGCGGCCGCAGCUGCCUCUCUGAGCUGGCAGACCCUCAGGACCGGCA